CCGAUUUUAUUGAGAGAUUUGAAUAGUUUUCCUGACACGUUGAAUCCUCUAACCUCUUAAUUAGCACCAUGAAAAUAAAUAUCUGAUAUUCCAUAUUUCUAAUAUGACUUACAAGUCUGGGUAUUUGGUGAUAAGUCAUUGGCCUAUUACUUUAGGAUAAGACAGUUUUUAUCAUAUUAUUGAAAAAAAUUGAAAUGAUCAAAUCUUUGUUACCAAACAGAUAAUUAUUUAGUCUCUAUCAAACAAAAAUUAGAUAUUAAACUCUUUCUACUCUUUCGUAUUAGAAAAUCUUCAGAUUUUGUACACCUUGGAAAU